GCGGGGCGAAGGCUGCGAGGCGGACGCGCCCGGCGGCUGCCGCUGCCCCUUCGUGUGUGGUGUCGGGUGUUGGCGGAUGCAGCAAUCAUUAGUGCGGAUGGAUCAAGUUGGUGGAGACACAAGAUGGAGUCAGCCUGGAUCUCCGAGUUACCACUUGGAGGGAGAUUCCCUAGAGAACAACUGGACUUAUAGUAGACCUUAUAUUGGUGCUCUUGGGCUUUUGGACUCAGACUGGGACUUAUGCCACUGUUGCCCUGAUUCUCAGACCUUUGGACUUGGACUGAAUUACAUUCCCCACUCUCCUGGUCAUGGGACGUAUUAGCCUAUAUAAUCAAUUCUCCAGUACUCUGACGUCAAUCAACUGGAUGUCCAACUCAAUUCAAUUUGGAUACUAUCUACCUGGAAUUAGUGUGAAAUCCCACAAAUUAAGGGGCCCAGUUCCACAAGACUGCCCCUACCUCAGAUGCCAGCUGCAAGUGGGGUACCCAGGUGACCCACACUUCUGCCCAGCCAACUACAUAUUUGAGGAUUCCCAUGACCACCCCCCACCAAGUUUGAUAAUUCACCAGAUAACUCACAGAAAUCAGGAAAGUGCUUUACUUUUCCAGUUUAUUAUAAAGGGUACAACUCAAGAAGAGCCAAAUGAAGGACAUGCAUCUGGCAAGAGGCAGAAACCAUUUACUUCACAGUCUUGCCGAGGGGAAAGUGCCUACAGCAGGCCUGGGGGGAGGUCAGCGUGGAGCUCAGCUCUGAGGUAACAACAGAUAAUUCCCAUUGUUGGAGUAAUGCCCUCAUGGAAAAAGGAAACUGGUUCCAAGUUAGUGUCAGUUCUGGGAUAAUCAUCCAGGGUAGUAGUUCCUUUCUCUGCCUGGCUGAGGAGGAUCCAUCUUGUUAAUAGUCAAAGAGUACAUAUACAUAUAGAAGUGGAGAACAUGUCGACGAGCUGGCUUGAAUCCUUUAAAAUAUUCACACUUUUCUGUGACUGGCAGAAGGAUCUUCGCAGGCAAGAACUUAGCUGAAUGGUCCUAACGGAAAUAAAGAGGGUGCCUCAGGACUCCAGAAAAACUGAAGGUUUUUGUCCAUGUGACAUCCUUGAGUGCUCCGAGGAAUCAAUCUUAGAAUCUGUCUUAGUCUGUUUGGGCUGCUAUAACAGAAUAACACAGACUGGCUGGCUUAUAAACCACAGAAAUUUACCUCUCACAGUUCUGGAGGGGGGGAGUUCAAGAUCAGGGUGCUAGCCUGGUUGGGUUCUGAUGGAAGCCCUCUUCUGGGCUGCAGAUGGGCAACUUCUCAUUUUGUUCUCACAUGGCAGCAGGUGGACAAGCUGCUCUCUGGGGCUUCUUUAUUAGAGACACGAAUUCCAUUCAUGAGGGCUCUGUUCUCAUGACCUAGUCACCACCCAAAGACCCCCCCCCACAACCAUUAUUGGGCAUUAGGAUUUCAACAUAUGAAUUUUGGGGGACAUAGCCAUUUAAACCAUAGCAGAAUCUAUUUUGCAAAGACACCCUAAUGCCUUGAAAGAUGCAGAGCAGGACUAGGAGCAUGCUCCAGGAGUAGCAUAGCAGGAAUGCUAAAAAGGGAGAAGGAAGCUAACAUUUCCAGAGCGCUCACCAUAUGCUGGGACCCAUGCUGGCUGCUUUACCUACACGAUCUCUUAAUUCUCCCAACAGCUCUGUGAGGUUGAUUUAACCCACUUCUAUUUACAGAUAAGGAAGCUGAGGUUCAGAGAAGUUAAGUAAGUUGUCUAAGGUCAUUUGACUUGUCUAAGGUCAACGUGGUAGUCCAUCUGACCACAAGCCAUGCUCUUUCCAAUAUAUAGCAAAAUAGUUGUGGGUCCAGAGACUGAUUUUAGAGUUAGAAGUAAUCUUGGAGUAAAUAGGCAACUACUACUAAAUAGACUUAGAAUGAUUUUUAGUGGUCACCCACUGCCAUACCUCUGCCAGGUGGCCUUCUGCUUUGGUUUUACUUCCAGCUACUGCUAAGGCAGGGCCCAAAGGGGCAGCAAGUUGAGGACUGAUUCCAAACUUCACCUGGAAUAGAAAGAUGAGAAUGGGAGAAAGUAUGGAAAGAAGAUUAAUGGAAAGUGAAGGGCUCAUCUUGUGAGAAAUUUCGAAUAUCGUAUCUCUGCAAUAAUUAGUUAAUGUGGCUCAGGAAUAGACUCACAGGUGAGUAGAAGGGAAUAUAUUUUUGUGGAAGCAAACUCUAAAAGUUAACACACAAUAAAGGAAAUAUUGCAAGUCACUGAGAAAGAUUGGUCUAUGUGUUUGAUAAUUUGUGGAAAUGUAGAUAGCUACAUAGAAAAAAAGUAAUGCAAGUCACGACCUUAUAUCAUGCCCAGAUAAAUUCCAGGUACAUGAGUGAAUUGUGUUUAAAAAGUGAAAAUACUAUAAGAAAAUUAAGAUUAAUAUUUAUCUGAUCUCUGAGUGGGAAAGGAUAUUUUAAGCAUAAAAUCUGUAAGAGAAAUCACAAAAGAUGGAUAGACUUGACUAUAGACAAAUUAGAAUUUUGUGUUUAUAAAAAAAUAUAAACAAAAACUUAAAAUAAUUGAUAAUUUGGGGAACAUUUGCAAGAAAUAUGACUAAGGGUGAAUAUCUUUAAUAUGUAACAUAUUCACACAAAUCAAUAAGAAAAAAUGUUAAUGCCCUAAAUUUAAAAUGGGCCAAGUGUAUGAAGAGAUAAAUUACCUCAAGAGAAAUUAUAAGUGACUAGUUAACAUAUAUUUGAAAAGUUCACCUUAGCUAGUAAUCAAAGCAAUAGAAAUCAAAGCUUUUACUUAAUCACUGAGAAUUAUUGGAAGUAGGAUUUAAACUUGGUGUGGGAAAAUGUGUGCUCACAUAUCGUGGGUAGAGAGCAAUCUGUCAAUCCUUUGCUGUAGGCCUAUCUCUGACAUUUGGGAGCCUAGGCCGAAAGUAUAAAUGGAAGCUCAUAUGCCAUUUAUCUAGAUAUUUAAAAUAUGUAAUUGUAUUCAAAGGAUAUACAUCUGGAAACAUCCCCAUUACACAUGUAAAUUAAACUAAAGAAAUGGAAAA